UACAGAGGGUGCGAGCGUUAAUCGGAAUUACUGGGCGUAAAGCGCGUGUAGGCGGUCCGGUAAGUCCGCUGUGAAAAGUCGGGGGGCUCAACCCUCGGAUGCCGGGUGGAUACUGUCGGGCUUGAGUACGGAAGAGGCGAGUGGAAUUCCUGGUGUAGCGGUGAAAUGCGCAGAUAUCAGGAGGAACACCAAUUGCGAAGGCAGCUCGCUGGGACGUUACUGACGCUGAGACGCGAAAAGCGUGGGGGAGCAAACAGG
rnacentral:rRNA from 1 species